UGACCAGCACCAAGGUAGAUACUGCCAUCGAAGAUGAAGAUGCAAUGGUGUCAUUGUGACAGGUGAAGCAAAAGUAUGUCUUAUGUUUACUUGAUUCCGUAGAUUAAUAUCUCUUUUGGUUGGCAAGAAUGACCUGGACACUGCCCUUCAUGUUUUCGUCAACAAGGCAGACAAUAUGGCAUUUCACUCUUGCCUGAAGAAGAACACCGAAGAGGCAAUAGUAGGCAAAACUACCAAUAUAUUAGACUCCACUCUACCGAUUGAGAACUGAAAAGAAAUUUCUCCACCUGAAUUCGAAGAACAAGUUGACCAUCACCAAGGUAGAUACUGCUGUCGAAGAUGAAGAUGCAAUGGUGUCAUUGUGACAGGUGAAGCAAAAAAAUCCUCACCUUGAAGAAUGAAGCCAAUGGUGAACAAGGAUGUUCUUUCUACCAAAGAACCAGGCCAUGCCGAGGUAGUGGUGUGGUUCGGAUGAUGGUGGUGAGGCUAAAAUAUGGGAGAUGACUUGGAGUUAUUUUAAGCAUGAGUUUUGUACUGGUGUGGUUCCUUAAGUCACCCCUUUCAGGUCAAACCCCUCUAUGUUAUCGAUCACCUUUUUCAUUUUGUGUUCAGUGAUGUGGAAUUUAGUACACUAUUUUUUGCCA